rnacentral:rRNA from 1 species
UACGAGGGGGGCAAGCGUUGUUCGGAAUUAUUGGGCGUAAAGGGUGCGUAGGCGGUUUGGUAAGUCUUAUGUGAAAUCUACAGGCUCAACUUGUAGUCUGCAUGAGAAACUGCCGGGCUUGAGUAUGGGAGAGGUGAGUGGAAUUCCUGGUGUAGCGGUGAAAUGCGUAGAGAUCGGGCGGAACACCAGCGGCGAAGGCGGCAUCCUGGCCCUAUCCUGACGCUGAGGCGCGAGAGCGUGGGGAGCAAACCGG